ACUCCUACGGGAGGCAGCAGUGGGGAAGUCUUUGGACAAUGGGGGCGAACCCUCGAUCCAGCCAUGCCGCGUGAGUGAUGAAGGCCCUACGGUCGUAAAGACUCUUUCGUCCAGGGAGUGAUAAUGACAGUACCUGGUAAAGAAACCCCGGACCGUAACUCCGUGCCAGCAGCCGCGGUAAUACGGAGGGGUUAGGCGUUGUUCGGAAUUACUGGGCGUAAAGACGCGCGUAGGCGGACCGAGAAAGUUAGGGGGUUGGAAAUCCCCGGGGCGUCAACCCCGGAACCUGCCUCCAAAACUACCUGGUCUUGAGUUCGAGAGAGGUGAGUGGAAUUCCGAGUGUAGAGGUGAAAUUCGUAGAUAUUCGGAGGAACACCAGUGGCGAAGGCGGCUCACUGGCUCGAUACUGACGCUGAGGUGCGAAAGUGUGGGGAGCAAACAGGAUUAGAUACCCUGGUAGCGACUGA
rnacentral:rRNA from 1 species